rnacentral:rRNA from 1 species
AGAGUUUGAUCCUGGCUCAGGACGAACGCUGGCGGCGUGCCUAAUACAUGCAAGUAGAACGCUGAAGAGAGGAGCUUGCUCUUCUUGGAUGAGUUGCGAACGGGUGAGUAACGCGUAAUCAACCUGCCCUUCAGAGGGGGACAACAGUUGGAAACGACUGCUAAUACCGCAUACGAUCCAACCUCGGCAUCGAGGAUGGAUGAAAGGUGGCCUCUAUUUAUAAGCUAUCACUGAAGGAGGGGAUUGCGUCUGAUUAGCUAGUUGGAGGGGUAACGGCCCACCAAGGCAAUGAUCAGUAGCCGGUCUGAGAGGAUGAACGGCCACAUUGGGACUGAGACACGGCCCAGACUCCUACGGGAGGCAGCAGUGGGGAAUCUUCCGCAAUGGACGAAAGUCUGACGGAGCAACGCCGCGUGAGUGAUGACGGCCUUCGGGUUGUAAAGCUCUGUUAAUCGGGACGAAAGGUCCUCUUGCGAAUAGUUAGAGGAAUUGACGGUACCGGAAUAGAAAGCCACGGCUAACUACGUGCCAGCAGCCGCGGUAAUACGUAGGUGGCAAGCGUUGUCCGGAAUUAUUGGGCGUAAAGCGCGCGCAGGCGGAUCAGUCAGUCUGUCUUAAAAGUUCGGGGCUUAACCCCGUGAUGGGAUGGAAACUGCUGAUCUAGAGUAUCGGAGAGGAAAGUGGAAUUCCUAGUGUAGCGGUGAAAUGCGUAGAUAUUAGGAAGAACACCAGUGGCGAAGGCGACUCUCUGGUCUGUAACUGACGCUGAGGCUCGAAAGCGUGGGUAGCAAACAGGAUUAGAUACCCUGGUAGUCCACGCCGUAAACG